rnacentral:rRNA from 1 species
GGUUAAGCGACUAAGCGUACACGGUGGAUGCCCUGGCAGUCAGAGGCGAUGAAGGACGUGCUAAUCUGCGAUAAGCGUCGGUAAGGUGAUAUGAACCGUUAUAACCGGCGAUUUCCGAAUGGGGAAACCCAGUGUGUUUCGACACACUAUCAUUAACUGAAUCCAUAGGUUAAUGAGGCGAACCGGGGGAACUGAAACAUCUAAGUACCCCGAGGAAAAGAAAUCAACCGAGAUUCCCCCAGUAGCGGCGAGCGAACGGGGAGCAGCCCAGAGCCUGAAUCAGUGUGUGUGUUAGUGGAAGCGUCUGGAAAGGCGCGCGAUACAGGGUGACAGCCCCGUACACAAAAAUGCACAUGCUGUGAGCUCGAUGAGUAGGGCGGGACACGUGGUAUCCUGUCUGAAUAUGGGGGGACCAUCCUCCAAGGCUAAAUACUCCUGACUGACCGAUAGUGAACCAGUACCGUGAGGGAAAGGCGAAAAGAACCCCGGCGAGGGGAGUGAAAAAGAACCUGAAACCGUGUACGUACAAGCAGUGGGAGCACGCUUAGGCGUGUGACUGCGUACCUUUUGUAUAAUGGGUCAGCGACUUAUAUUCUGUAGCAAGGUUAACCGAAUAGGGGAGCCGAAGGGAAACCGAGUCUUAACUGGGCGUUAAGUUGCAGGGUAUAGACCCGAAACCCGGUGAUCUAGCCAUGGGCAGGUUGAAGGUUGGGUAACACUAACUGGAGGACCGAACCGACUAAUGUUGAAAAAUUAGCGGAUGACUUGUGGCUGGGGGUGAAAGGCCAAUCAAACCGGGAGAUAGCUGGUUCUCCCCGAAAGCUAUUUAGGUAGCGCCUCGUGAAUUCAUCUCCGGGGGUAGAGCACUGUUUCGGCAAGGGGGUCAUCCCGACUUACCAACCCGAUGCAAACUGCGAAUACCGGAGAAUGUUAUCACGGGAGACACACGGCGGGUGCUAACGUCCGUCGUGAAGAGGGAAACAACCCAGACCGCCAGCUAAGGUCCCAAAGUCAUGGUUAAGUGGGAAACGAUGUGGGAAGGCCCAGACAGCCAGGAUGUUGGCUUAGAAGCAGCCAUCAUUUAAAGAAAGCGUAAUAGCUCACUGGUCGAGUCGGCCUGCGCGGAAGAUGUAACGGGGCUAAACCAUGCACCGAAGCUGCGGCAGCGACGCUUAUGCGUUGUUGGGUAGGGGAGCGUUCUGUAAGCCUGUGAAGGUGUGCUGUGAGGCAUGCUGGAGGUAUCAGAAGUGCGAAUGCUGACAUAAGUAACGAUAAAGCGGGUGAAAAGCCCGCUCGCCGGAAGACCAAGGGUUCCUGUCCAACGUUAAUCGGGGCAGGGUGAGUCGACCCCUAAGGCGAGGCCGAAAGGCGUAGUCGAUGGGAAACAGGUUAAUAUUCCUGUACUUGGUGUUACUGCGAAGGGGGGACGGAGAAGGCUAUGUUGGCCGGGCGACGGUUGUCCCGGUUUAAGCGUGUAGGCUGGUUUUCCAGGCAAAUCCGGAAAAUCAAGGCUGAGGCGUGAUGACGAGGCACUACGGUGCUGAAGCAACAAAUGCCCUGCUUCCAGGAAAAGCCUCUAAGCAUCAGGUAACAUCAAAUCGUACCCCAAACCGACACAGGUGGUCAGGUAGAGAAUACCAAGGCGCUUGAGAGAACUCGGGUGAAGGAACUAGGCAAAAUGGUGCCGUAACUUCGGGAGAAGGCACGCUGAUAUGUAGGUGAAGUCCCUCGCGGAUGGAGCUGAAAUCAGUCGAAGAUACCAGCUGGCUGCAACUGUUUAUUAAAAACACAGCACUGUGCAAACACGAAAGUGGACGUAUACGGUGUGACGCCUGCCCGGUGCCGGAAGGUUAAUUGAUGGGGUUAGCGCAAGCGAAGCUCUUGAUCGAAGCCCCGGUAAACGGCGGCCGUAACUAUAACGGUCCUAAGGUAGCGAAAUUCCUUGUCGGGUAAGUUCCGACCUGCACGAAUGGCGUAAUGAUGGCCAGGCUGUCUCCACCCGAGACUCAGUGAAAUUGAACUCGCUGUGAAGAUGCAGUGUACCCGCGGCAAGACGGAAAGACCCUGUGAACCUUUACUAUAGCUUGACACUGAACAUUGAGCCUUGAUGUGUAGGAUAGGUGGGAGGCUUAGAAGUGUGGACGCCAGUCUGCAUGGAGCCGACCUUGAAAUACCACCCUUUAAUGUUUGAUGUUCUAACGUUGACCCGUAAUCCGGGUUGCGGACAGUGUCUGGUGGGUAGUUUGACUGGGGCGGUCUCCUCCUAAAGAGUAACGGAGGAGCACGAAGGUUGGCUAAUCCUGGUCGGACAUCAGGAGGUUAGUGCAAUGGCAUAAGCCAGCUUGACUGCGAGCGUGACGGCGCGAGCAGGUGCGAAAGCAGGUCAUAGUGAUCCGGUGGUUCUGAAUGGAAGGGCCAUCGCUCAACGGAUAAAAGGUACUCCGGGGAUAACAGGCUGAUACCGCCCAAGAGUUCAUAUCGACGGCGGUGUUUGGCACCUCGAUGUCGGCUCAUCACAUCCUGGGGCUGAAGUAGGUCCCAAGGGUAUGGCUGUUCGCCAUUUAAAGUGGUACGCGAGCUGGGUUUAGAACGUCGUGAGACAGUUCGGUCCCUAUCUGCCGUGGGCGCUGGAGAACUGAGGGGGGCUGCUCCUAGUACGAGAGGACCGGAGUGGACGCAUCACUGGUGUUCGGGUUGUCAUGCCAAUGGCACUGCCCGGUAGCUAAAUGCGGAAGAGAUAAGUGCUGAAAGCAUCUAAGCACGAAACUUGCCCCGAGAUGAGUUCUCCCUGACCCUUUAAGGGUCCUGAAGGAACGUUGAAGACGACGACGUUGAUAGGCCGGGUGUGUAAGCGCAGCGAUGCGUUGAGCUAACCGGUACUAAUGAACCGUGAGGCUUAACCUU